rnacentral:rRNA from 1 species
GGUUUCUUGGAAGAAUAGGAAAUUUGACCUGCCCACUGAAUAAAGAUUAAAUGGCCGCAGUAAUUUGACUGUGCAAAGGUAGCAUAAUCAUUAGUUUUUUAAUUGAAAACUAGUAUGAAUGGUUGGACGAGGUAAAUUCUGUUUUAUAAAAAUGAAUUGAAUUUAUAAUUUAAGUAAAAAGACUUAAAUGCAUUUAAGGGACGAGAAGACCCUAUAGAGUUUAAUAAAUUUAUUUUUAAUUGAGUUUAUAAAAAAUUUUUGAUUAUGGAAAAGUUUAUUUUGUUGGGGAGAUAAAGAAAUAAUAAAAACUUUUUUUUUAUUUAAAUUAAAAUCGUUAAAUAAGUGAUCCAUUAUUAGUGAUAAAAAGAUUAAAUUACCUUAGGGAUAACAGCAUAAUUUUUUUUGAAAGUUCAUAUUGAAAGGAAAGAUUAUGACCUCGAUGUUGGAUUAAGAUAAAUUUUGGGUGUAGAUGUUCAAAUAUUAGGUCUGUUCGACCUUUAAAAUCUUACA